GUCUACGGCCAUACCACAUUGAAAACACCGGUUCUCGUCUGAUCACCGAAGUUAAGCAACGUCGGGUCCGGUUAGUACUUGGAUGGGUGACCGCCUGAGAAUACCGGGUGCUGUAGACU
rnacentral:rRNA from 1 species